rnacentral:rRNA from 1 species
CCUACGGGUGGCAGCAGUGGGGGAUAUUGCACAAUGGGGGAAACCCUGAUGCAGCGACGCCGCGUGGGUGAAGAAGUAUUUCGGUAUGUAAAGCCCUAUCAGCAGGGAAGAAAGAAGACGGUACCUGACUAAGAAGCCCCGGCUAACUACGUGCCAGCAGCCGCGGUAAUACGUAGGGGGCGAGCGUUAUCCGGAUUCACUGGGUGUAAAGGGAGCGUAGACGGCCGUGCAAGCCAGGAGUGAAAGCCCGGGGCCCAACCCCGGGACUGCUCUUGGAACUGUGCGGCUGGAGUGCGGGAGGGGCAGGCGGAAUUCCUGGUGUAGCGGUGAAAUGCGUAGAUAGCAGGAGGAACACCGGCGGCGAAGGCGGCCUGCUGGACCGCGACUGACGUUGAGGCUCGAAAGCGUGGGGAGCGAACAGGAUUAGAUACCCGUGUAGUC